AAUAUUGGACAAUGGGGGCAACCCUGAUCCAGCCAUGCCGCGUGUGUGAAGAAGGUCUUCGGAUUGUAAAGCACUUUAAGUUGGGAGGAAGGGCUUUAGGUUAAUACACUUAAGUUUGGACGUUACCAACAGAAGAAGCACCGGAUAACUCUGUGCCAGCAGCCGCGGUAAUAAAGAGGGUGCAAGCGUUGAUUGGAAUUAUUGUGCGUAAAGCGCGCGUAUGUCGUUCAGUAAUAUGGGAAUGAACACGCCGGGCUUAGCCUGGGAACUGCGUUCACAACUGCUGAUCUAGAGUACAGUAGAGGGUAGUGGAAUUUCCUGUGUAGCGGUGAAAUGCGAAGAUAUAGGAAGGAACACCAGUGUCGAAGGCGACUACCUGGACUGAUACUGACACUGAGGUGCGAAAGCGUGGGGAGAAAAC
rnacentral:rRNA from 1 species